AUUGAACGCUGGCGGCAGGCCUAACACAUGCAAGUCGAACGAGUGGCAGAAGGGUGAGUAAUGUCUGGAAAACUGCCAUAUGGCGGGGGAACAAUACUGGACACGGUAGAUAAUCCCGCAUACCAUCGGAUGUGCCCAGAUGGGAUUAGCUAGGAGGUGGGGUAACGACUCACCUAGGCGACGAUCCAUAGCUGGUCUGAGAGGAUGACCAGCCACACUGGAACUGAGACACGGGCCAGACUCCUACGGGAGGCAGCAGUGGGGAAUAUUGCACAAUGGGCGCAAGCCUGAUGCAGCCAUGCCGCGUGUAUGAAGAAGGCCUUCGGGUUGUAAAGUACUUUCAGCGAGGAGGCGUUACUCGCAGAAGAAGCACCGGCUAACUCCGUGCCAGCAGCCGCGGUAAUUC
rnacentral:rRNA from 1 species